AAGUUCCCAUAUCCUCCAACUUGCCCACAUCUACAUUAGACCCACCUGCUUCUGUUUGGCCUAUAUCCCUCUA